CAUGAACUUUUGCAUUUUAUUGCGGCUUUCUUGGAUCGAAAUUUGUGGAUUAAACAAUCAAGAACAUCAUUUGUUGAAUGUUUAAAGUUAUUAAAAGCANNNNNNNNNNNNNNNNNNNNAAAAGGUGUUGAAAACAUUUUUGAAGGCAAUGACGUACUACCAAAUGACGAAUAAUCACGCGAGCGACACUUGCUAGGAAGAUGGCGACCGUGGGACAACUUUUUUACUGAAGUUACACAUCUGUUCUUACUUAAUCUAUGACCGAAGCGAAUUCAAACGGCUUGCUAACUUCGCAAGCGUUUCAAUAUGACUACGACCUCUUUGUUGUCUGUUCUAUCGUUCGUUCGUUUGUUUUGUCUGUAUUUCACAAACAUACGGUAAAUUGGAAUUGCCGGGAAACGACGCCCAAUGGGAAAUCUGGAAAAAGUUUCACGGUAAAGUGUACGAGAAUGAAUACGUCGAAAAUUAUCGUAAAGCUAUCUGGCAAGCGAACUUGGAGGUAAGCA
rnacentral:lncRNA from 1 species